AACGAACGCUGGCGGCAGGCUUAACACAUGCAAGUCGAGCGCCCCGCAAGGGGAGCGGCAGACGGGUGAGUAACGCGUGGGAAUCUACCCAUCUCUACGGAAUAACGCAUGGAAACGUGUGCUAAUACCGUAUACGUCCUUCGGGAGAAAGAUUUAUCGGAGAUGGAUGAGCCCGCGUUGGAUUAGCUAGUUGGUGGGGUAAAGGCCUACCAAGGAGACGAUCCAUAGCUGGUCCGAGAGGAUGAGCAGCCACACUGGGGAUGAGACACGGCCCAGACUCCUACGGGAGGCAGCAGUGGGGAAUAUUGGACAAUGGGCGCAAGCUUGAUCCAGCCAUGCCGCGUGAGUGACGAAGGCCCUAGGGUUGUAAAGCUCUUUCACCGGUGAAGAUAAUGACGGUAACCGGAGAAGAAGCCCCGGCUAACUUCGUGCCAGCCGCCGCCGUAAAAC
rnacentral:rRNA from 1 species